GGAGAGACUCCGGCGUAGUUUAUUUUCCUUCCGAGCAGGGAGGAGAGAACGCGCAAAAUGCUCCUAAUGGAGCAAAGCGAGCAAGAGGAGCCCAAAGGCGCGGGUGUGCGGCCUCAUGGGGACACUGCUGGGGGUUGGGAUUCUCCUUGCUAUGAGGGGCCCAAAGCCUUUGAGGUGGGAAGGAUUUGGGGUGGGAGAAGGGCCGGAGGAAUGGGGACAGGUGGCAGAGUGCACCUGCGGGCAGGAGGAUGGAUGGGUGGGUGGGUGGGUGGGUGGGUGGAGGGAUGCGGCCGCACGGAGCAUCUCCUCAAUGGGUGUGCGGAGCUUUGAGCCUACAGAUGAGCAGACCCCGAUCCCCUCCUCCUUGCUUUAUA
rnacentral:lncRNA from 1 species